rnacentral:rRNA from 1 species
UGGGGAAUAUUGGACAAUGGGCGCAAGCCUGAUCCAGCAAUGCCGCGUGAGUGAUGAAGGCCUUAGAGUUGUAAAGCUCUUUCGCACGCGACGAUGAUGACGGUAGCGUGAGAAGAAGCCCCGGCUAACUUCGUGCCAGCAGCCGCGGUAAUACGAAGGGGGCUAGCGUUGUUCGGAAUUACUGGGCGUAAAGGGCGCGUAGGCGGCCUGUUUAGUCAGAAGUGAAAGCCCCGGGCUCAACCUGGGAAUAGCUUUUGAUACUGGCAGGCUUGAGUUCCGGAGAGGAUGGUGGAAUUCCCAGUGUAGGGGUGAAAUUCGUAGAUAUUGGGAAGAACACCGGUGGCGAAGGCGGCCAUCUGGACGGACACUGACGCUGAGGCGCGAAGGCGUGGGGAGCAAACAGGAUUAGAUACCCUGGUAGUCCACGCCGUAAAACGAUGAAUGCUAGACGUCGGGGUGCAUGCACUUCGGUGUCGCCGCUAACGCAUUAAGCAUUCCGCCUGGGGAGUACGGCCGCAAGGUUAAAACUCAAAUGAAUUGACGGGGUCAUAGCUGUUUCCU